GAUGAACGCUGGCGGCGUGCCUAAUACAUGCAAGUCGAGCGAACAGACGAGGAGCUUGCUCCUCUGACGUUAGCGGCGGACGGGUGAGUAACACGUGGAUAACCUACCUAUAAGACUGGGAUAACUUCGGGAAACCGGAGCUAAUACCGGAUAAUAUAUUGAACCGCAUGGUUCAAUAGUGAAAGACGGUUUUGCUGUCACUUAUAGAUGGAUCCGCGCCGCAUUAGCUAGUUGGUAAGGUAACGGCUUACCAAGGCAACGAUGCGUAGCCGACCUGAGAGGGUGAUCGGCCACACUGGAACUGAGACACGGUCCAGACUCCUACGGGAGGCAGCAGUAGGGAAUCUUCCGCAAUGGGCGAAAGCCUGACGGAGCAACGCCGCGUGAGUGAUGAAGGUCUUCGGAUCGUAAAACUCUGUUAUUAGGGAAGAACAAAUGUGUAAGUAACUAUGCCCGUCUUGACGGUACCUAAUCAGAGAGCCACGGCUAACUACGUG
rnacentral:rRNA from 1 species